rnacentral:rRNA from 1 species
CCUAAUACAUGCAAGUCGAACGCACAGCGAAAGGUGCUUGCACCUUUCAAGUGAGUGGCGAACGGGUGAGUAACACGUGGAUAACCUACCUCAAGGUUGGGGAUAACAUUUGGAAACAGAUGCUAAUACCGAAUAAAACUUAGUAUCGCAUGAUACCAGGUUAAGAGGCGCUACGGCGUCACCUAGAGAUGGAUCCGCGGUGCAUUAGUUAGUUGGUGGGGUAAAGGCUUACCAAGACAAUGAUGCAUAGCCGAGUUGAGAGACUGAUCGGCCACAUUGGGACUGAGACACGGCCCAAACUCCUACGGGAGGCUGCAGUAGGGAAUCUUCCACAAUGGGCGAAAGCCUGAUGGAGCAACGCCGCGUGUGUGAUGAAGGCUUUCGGGUCGUAAAGCGCUGUUGUAUGGGAAGAACAGCUAGAGUAGGGAAUGACUUUAGUUUGACGGUACCAUACCAGAAAGGGACGGCUAAAUACGUGCCAGCAGCCGCGGUAAUACGUAUGUCCCGAGCGUUAUCCGGAUUUAUUGGGCGUAAAGCGAGCGCAGACGGUUAAUUAAGUCUGAUGUGAAAGCCCGGAGCUCAACUCCGGAAAGGCAUUGGAAACUGGUUAACUUGAGUGCAGUAGAGGUAAGUGGAACUCCAUGUGUAGCGGUGGAAUGCGUAGAUAUAUGGAAGAACACCAGCGGCGAAGGCGGCUUACUGGACUGUAACUGACGUUGAGGCUCGAAAGUGUGGGUAGCAAACAGGAUUAGAUACCCUGGUAGUCCACACCGUAAACGAUGAACACUAGGUGUUAGGAGGUUUCCGCCUCUUA